rnacentral:rRNA from 1 species
GAUUGAACGCUGGCGGCAGGCCUAACACAUGCAAGUCGAACGGUAACAGGAAGCAGCUUGCUGCUUCGCUGACGAGUGGCGGACGGGUGAGUAAUGUCUGGGAAACUGCCUGAUGGAGGGGGAUAACUACUGGAAACGGUGGCUAAUACCGCAUAACGUCGCAAGACCAAAGAGGGGGACCUUCGGGCCUCUUGCCAUCAGAUGUGCCCAGAUGGGAUUAGCUWGUUGGUGAGGUAACGGCUCACCAAGGCGACGAUCCCUAGCUGGUCUGAGAGGAUGACCAGCCACACUGGAACUGAGACACGGUCCAGACUCCUACGGGAGGCAGCAGUGGGGAAUAUUGCACAAUGGGCGCAAGCCUGAUGCAGCCAUGCCGCGUGUAUGAAGAAGGCCUUMGGGUUGUAAAGUACUUUCAGCGGGGAGGAAGGUGUUGYGGUUAAUAACCGCAGCAAUUGACGUUACCCGCAGAAGAAGCACCGGCUAACUCC